CGAACGGGUGAGUAACACGUGAGUAACCUGCCCCGAAGACUGGGAUAACGACCGGAAACGGUCGCUAAUACCGGAUACCCCCAUUGGAUCGCAUGGUCCGAUGAGGAAAUGAAUUUCGCUUCGGGAGGGGCUCGCGGGCUAUCAGCUUGUUGGUGGGGUAAUGGCCCACCAAGGCUGCAACGGCUAGCUGGUCUGAGAGGACGACCAGCCACACUGGGACUGAGACACGGCCCAG
rnacentral:rRNA from 1 species